rnacentral:misc_RNA from 1 species
AUCACAUUGAAAGCACCCUGUGUAUCUAGCAUGGAGCACUCAACCUCCAAGUAUAAAAUGUUGAAUUACAAAUCAUUCAAUUUGCUUUUGAUUUUAGAUUUCCUCCUGUUAUCUCAGAAACUAAAAGCAUACAUAUUCUGCCAUAACAUGCUAGUAAUUGAAACAGAAUGAUUUGAUGUAUUAACAUGGCCUGUAAUUUGUUUGCCUAUAUUAAGCCUGUGAGAUACUGCCAGAGUUGAGACAGAAGUUGCAUUGUCAUUUUCCUUCAUAUGUGUAACAUCGGGUUCAACAAUAGAGUGAUCUUAUUACUCUGAGUUUUGACUCUUUUUUGGAUGUUAGUUCUGAGUCAAAACUAGAUAUGACGGCUUAGAA